rnacentral:rRNA from 1 species
AACGAACGCUGGCGGCAUGCCUAACACAUGCAAGUCGAACGAGACCUUCGGGUCUAGUGGCGCACGGGUGCGUAACGCGUGGGAACCUGCCCUUAGGUUCGGAAUAACUCCCCGAAAGGGGUGCUAAUACCGGAUAAUGUCUUCGGACCAAAGAUUUAUCGCCUUUGGAUGGGCCCGCGUUGGAUUAGCUAGUUGGUAGGGUAAAAGCCUACCAAGGCGACGAUCCAUAGCUGGUCUGAGAGGAUGAUCAGCCACACUGGGACUGAGACACGGCCCAGACUCCUACGGGAGGCAGCAGUGGGGAAUAUUGGACAAGGGGCGAAAGCCUGACACAGCAAUGCCGCGUGAGUGAUGAAGGCCUUAGGGUUGUAAAGCUCUUUUACCCGGGAUGAUAAUGACAGUACCGGGAGAAUAAGCACCGGCUAACUCCGUG